UCAACGGAUAGUUUUGCCAGGUCUCCUUAUUUUCCCUGUGUGCGAUCAGUAACUUAAUUGCCAGCUCUAUGAGUAAUGACCACUGAAAGGCUGCCUCAGCACUAUUUGAAAACCUUGCAAGGAGGCGUGCUGAUUUUUUUGACAAGGCUUACGGGGCACUUCUCAAUUGGGGGAAAACUCUGCGUGUGUUUGAGUGUAAUGUAGAGUGGAUGUCAAACAUGGUUAAUUAUAAUUUAGAGUUUUAUUCUGCAUCUGUGACUCGCUGCUCUAAUAGAUGUUAGUCCUUUUCUUUUUAUUACAACAUCUUUCCUUUAAGUGUGUAAAUGCCUUUUUCAGGUUAAUGACUGUAUUCGUGACCUUUUGCAUUUCACUUUCUUCUCCUUUUUUACAGCAGCUGCCCAGAAAAAAACUAGUUUUUCUUCUUUUUACUGUAAACAAGUGUGAAACAACCAACAGCUGCCAACAGCCUUCAUUGUAGACACUUAAAAAUUAAAGCUGAAUUUGAGGAAAUCUCAAUUUUCCGGAAACUUCAUUGUUUUACUGCGAGUAUAAUAGACACAGAAUUACGCUGGACUUCUUCAAGGUUCAUGCUCAGUGAUUUUCUUAGAUGCAAGUGCCACCUUAAUGCUCAUUGCUGCUCGCCAUACGUAUGAAAAUGUUCGCGUCCAUUUCAAACGAUGAUUCCGUCACUGCCCACAUACUUAGAUGCGUCCUUUACGUUGGCAUGGAUGUUAACCAUUACAUCCACCAGGGGGCAGACCGGGGUCAAAAGUUUCUGACAACAACAAACAAAAAGAAACAAGGCGAUAGUGGAGGAGCUAGAGACAAUGUCAGUCAGGCCACUUAUUGCCUCAUGGUUGGAGGAUGGAGAAUUCUUUUCUCUAGUCAUACCGAUGAGAGAAACUGACGACAAUCAUCAUUUUCAGCCCACCAUUGUCUUCUACGUUUCUCUCUAGAGAUGCGUAUCGGGUAGUGAAAGCAGCAACACUGCCCCCACAGUUUCCAGUAGUACUGCUCCAUCUGGCCUGCAUCUGUAAACUUCAAGGAUAUGUGCAGAAAUACAGAAGAAAAGAACACAAAGCACCGAUGGAGAACUUCGUCCAGAUCCAGAUCUGUAUGUAACGUUGAGCAUAAAUGAGGCUUUAGCUCCUUUGCUUGGAAAGCUCUGAGAUAUGAGUGGAUGUGUCAUGAGCACACACAAAGUGAGACUGACCGGCAAUUUCCACCACAUCGGGAAGGGCUAUGAAAAGGCUGUAUCCGCUGAUCAUAGCUGAUCAUAACCAUUCAAGUUAAUGUGUCAAUUUCCGCAAGAGUUCUUCCUUUUUCAGACGCCGGGGUAUGCCGGAUAAAUUCAGCACAGAUUAACCUGUGCUGGAAAGGAAGUCAGGCACAGACACAAAAUAAAACAUCCUGCUUCUUUUAAAAAAAAAACACUCCGUGUUUCAGGCGGAUCCUAUUUCACACCAUGCAACGGGCGGAGAUGAACAAGUGAAAGGUUUUAAACAGCAUUUCACCCUGAUGACACCAUGGAUGAGAGGAUGCUGGUUUUAUAAGUCUAGAAGUAGAUUUCCUCCUCUAGAAGGACACAAUCUACUGCUUAUAUGGUUAGCCUAUGUGGCUAAAGACAACUUGUUAUCACGCGAUUGCACGUAAAUCCGCAGGUUCUUGUGAGUUCUCGCGAUUCCUGCUGUCUGUAAUCCACCACAAAAUUCGCCUUACAAACAGACCUGGUAGGAAUUGGCGUACGGCAAAAAUCGCCGCCAUUCCAACUUGGAACCGUUCAGGAUGCGGUGGAAAUCCUGGGUUACCCAAUACGGUGCAGAUUUGCUGCCUGAUUUAAAAAUUGUUUGACCCACCUGUUUUUUUUUUUUUUUUAAACUCUAAUUCAUACCCAGAAGACCUCAUUUUGAGAGAAAUUAUCAAAACAUUGGAAGAAACUAAUUCAGUUGAUCAUUUUCUGAGUAUUUGAUUCGCUAUGCUCAAUCAAGAUUUACACCUUUCAGCACGUGUAAAGACAUUUGAAGUUACCACGUCUCGCAAAGUUGAUUCAUGAACCUGAAAGUUAAACUAAAUUCGCUCAGAGCAUAUUUUCCCAAAUACUGACACUGCAUGAAUGAGCCAUAAAUCAACACCUGCUGUGAAUCCUGCAGCAGACCCAUUUCCUCAUGUUUUUAAGGCGUUUAUUGCAUGAAGAGUUUCAGUGCUGGGCUUGAUAGACGGAUUUUAGGAACUCACUUUAUUGAUGAGUCUGAGAGCA